AUUGAACGCUGGCGGCAGGCCUAACACAUGCAAGUCGAGCGCGCGUCGGACGGGUGAGAAAUGUAUGGGGGCUGCCCGAUAGAGGGGGGUAACUAUUGGAAACGGUAGCUAAUAUCCCAUACUCUCGCUAUAUCCAUAUGGGAUUAGCUAGUAGGUGAGGUAAUGUCUCACCUAGGCGACGAUCCCUAGCUGGUCUGAGAGGAUGAACAGCCACACUGGGACUGAGACACGGCCCAGACUCCUACGGAGGCAGCAGUGGGGAAUAUUGCACAAUGGGCGCAAGCCUGAUGCAGCCAUGCCGCGUGUAUGAAGAAGGCCCUAGGGUUGUAAAGUACUUUCAGUCGGGAGGCGUUACCGACAGAAGAAGCACCGGCUAACUCCGUGCCAGCCGCCGCGGUAAUUC
rnacentral:rRNA from 1 species